rnacentral:hammerhead_ribozyme from 1 species
GCACUGCUGUAGAGUUCCUUACUAGGACGAAACGGCCGUCCAGUAC